AACUUUCAACAAUGGAUCUCUUGGUUCAGGCAUCGAUGAAGAACGCAGCGAAAUGCGAUAACUAGUGUGAAUUGCAGAAUUCCGUGAAUCAUCGAGUCUUUGAACGCACAUUGCGCCCCCUGGUAUUCCGGGGGGCAUGCCUGUCCGAGCGUCAUU
rnacentral:rRNA from 1 species